rnacentral:rRNA from 1 species
UACGAAGGGGGCUAGCGUUGUUCGGAAUUACUGGGCGUAAAGCGCACGUAGGCGGAUAGACAAGUUGGGGGUGAAAUCCCGGGGCUCAACCUCGGAACUGCCUUCAAAACUGUCUGUCUAGAGGUCAGGAGAGGUUAGCGGGAUACCGAGUGUAGAGGUGAAAUUCGUAGAUAUUCGGUGGAACACCAGUGGCGAAGGCGGCUAACUGGACUGAUACUGACGCUGAGGUGCGAAAGUGUGGGGAGUAAACAGG